rnacentral:tRNA from 2 species
CGGGGUGUAGCGCAGCUUGGUAGCGUGCUUGAAUGGGGUUCAAGAGGCCGCGAGUUCGAAUCUCGCCACUCCGACCA